rnacentral:rRNA from 1 species
UACAGAGGGUGCGAGCGUUAAUCGGAAUUACUGGGCGUAAAGGGCGCGUAGGUGGUCUGUUAAGAUUGACGUGAAAUCCCUGGGCUUAACCUAGGAACUGCAACAAUGACUGAUGGGCUUGAGUACUGUAGAGGGCAGUGGAAUUUCCGGUGUAGCGGUGAAAUGCGUAGAGAUCGGAAGGAACACCAGUGGCGAAGGCGGCUGCCUGGACAGAUACUGACACUGAGGCGCGAGAGCGUGGGGAGCAAACAGG